ensembl:lncRNA
CGCUAGAGACUCUGCCUCCUAAGAGACACGUUAAGCUGACUCUGUGUCUCUGUCAUUCAUCUUCACUCCCCAGGGCCUUUGCACAGCCAUUCGUCUGCUGGGAAAGCUUCGUCUCAAGAUAGUGUCAAGGCUGCUGCCUCUCACUGUGGCUGCCUCCGGGAGGUCUUCCUUACCUUUAAAAAUCACCUCUGCACCCCCACACUCACUGUCCCCCUUCCCCCAACCAGGACCUGACAUGUGCAGGCACCUUUCACUGCUUGACCUGUCAGCAUUUGCGGAUCUAGAGAAGGGGGUGCCCUGUCCAAGGGCAAGCGUCCCUCUUUUCAGUCUGUUUGGCUCACAGCUGUGUCCCUAGUGCAGGGCACGGUGCCAGACACUCAGCAGGGCCUCCAUAAAUAUUUGUAGCCUGAGCAAGUGAACAAAUGGAUGGAAUCACAUUUGAAAGACAAAGCUCUGGGACUUCAAAGAACUUGUUGAUUAAAGGGGUGGAGUUCAGGUAUCUGCAUCCUUACUUUGGCUGAAGGGAAAGAGUAAGAAUACCAAUUGUCACCCAGGAUGGCUGGGUGCCCAGUACUGAAGAGGGCGGCAGACUGGCUGCCGUAGCAACUCUCCCUCCCACGGUGGAAGGGGCGGUGAGGAGUGGAAAGGAGGAACAUCAGGACGUUGUCAUUUGCCCUCAAGGGCCGCACUAGGACUUUAGGGUCCUGGGAGCCUCUUGCUGGUCCUUUGGCUCUGCUGGAAUCCUCUUCCCAGGGCCAGCUCCUUCCAUGACCAGUCUCAGCUCGCAUGCCACCUGCUCGGCUGUGCUGUCCUCUACAUGGGAUUUCUUCUCAGGGAGGCUCAUCCCCUGAGCUGGACAGCUCCCAGCUGACUGCCUCCCUGCUCAGUGGCAGCAGCAGAAAGACAGGUGCCCACAACACCAGCCCCAAAGUCCGAGGUUGCUCACCAUUGACUGCCUUGAGUCACGUGCCCUUUGCUGGACCAAUCACAGUGGCCAGAAAUGGAAUAUGGGGUCAUCAAGGCCCAGACACAGAGGUGUGGGGGCUCCCAAUAUGCCACUCUCAGGAGACAUAGGCUGCUAGAAACAACAGAUGACCCCUGUACUAGGGAACAGUUAAAAGAAAAUACUGGGCUGGGGAUUUAGCUCAGUGGUUUUGCCACCUGCUGCUGCAUAAGCACAAGGACCCGAGUUCAAUCCCUGGUAUCAAAAAAAAAAAUACUAAUGCUCUUUGACAUUCUGAAAUCAAAGAUUUGAAAUCCAAACUCAUAAGUGACAGUUCAUUUUAAGUCAACUUGGCAAGGCCGUGGUGCCCAGAGAUGAGGUCAAAUAUUAUUUAGAAGUUUCUAUAAGGGUGUUUGGGGAUGAGAUUAACAUUUAAAUCAGUGGACUUUAAGGAAAGCAGAUUGCCCUCCAUAAUGUGGGGGGCCACAUCCAAUCAGGUGAAGGCCUGCAUAGAAGAAAACACUGACCUCCUGCAAGCAAAAAGAAUUCUUCAGCAGAUGUCUCAGACUUAAACAGCAGCACCAGCUCCUUCCAGGGUCUCCAGCCUGCUGCUCUACCCUGCGGGUGCUGGACUUGCCAGCCCCCAUAGCCACAGGAGCCAAUUGCUGAAGAUAAACUUCUUUCCGUAUAUGAACCAUAGGUGUUGAAAAACUUUACCCUCUGAAGGUUUGAUAAUUGGGUCUAUGAAGUAUACUGACAAUGGACAGACUAAUGGGAGAAAAGUUAUACAAAUUCCUUACCCACACAGGGGCAUCACAGGAAAGAGAAGUGACCAGUCCCAGCCCAGGGUGAUCCGGAAUCAUAUAUACCUGCUUCAGUGGGGAGGGGGAAGGGGAAGGCUAACUGGCCAUUGGGUGCCAGCCGGGGGUAAAGUAUCUGGGCACAGAGUGACCUUGGGUACACCUGCUGUGAUGGAAGUCCACCUUUCUCUGGCUGACCAGGGCCCUGGCAGGGGAUUCUUGAUUAUUGGUUGGUUCCCUUUGUAGGAUCCAACUUUAGGCAGAUAAGGGAAGCUUGGCCGAGCCCUCUCUGUGCUUGCUGUCCCCAGGUGUCCUCUCUCUGAAAUACUCCACACACUCAAGGGCAUGUUUUUGGUGGCAUCUUUUGAACUCCUCAGCACAUGUUCUGUUGAGUGUGUCUUCUGGGAGCCCUGACUCACACCACACACUGUACUUGAAUAAAGGUUACUUCCAAAGCCCCUCACCUCUGGACUGUAACCAACUUGGUGACAAACUUAGUCCAUCUCCAUAUGCUGGCAUUUGCCACGUGGAAAAGGCCAUUUGACAGAUGGAAGCUGCGGUCCCACCCCCAACUCCCAUUUUCCUCUCUCUCUUUAAUGUUGAUUUUAUGCUCAUUUUAGAGACCCAGUCAAAAAGAUGGAUACAAGGCCAAAUCAGUGACAAAUGAAAAAGGGAUUUAGACACCUUGAGCUUUUGUGUUGUGUGGUGUGUGUGUGUGUGUGAGAGAGAGAGAGAUUAGUACUAUCCUUCGAAGGAAGGAAGGAGGAAGCUGAAUUCCUGACAGGGCUGGGAGGAGAUGGUGCCUGAACAGACUCUUGCAGUGGACCUCCACCUAGCCCUGUCUCCUAGGAUGAGGGUCCUCCAGUUUUCCUCCAGGGAUUGAAUUCACCUGACCCCACUGAUGGCCCAGUAUGAGCUCUUCCUGCUGCCAUCUGCUGCCCAGGGCCCAGGAUACCCUGUUCCUGCCCCUCCAAUGCCUCCUGCUCCCCAGACCUUCUGGUCGUUCUGCAUUUCUGUGCUCCAGGGUCUAACGUGGAUUCUGUGCCCUGUGACCUCAAAACCCAACAUAACUGAAGGUAUGUCCUCUUACCCAGGACACAUGCUGUAAGUCUGCCACACUGCUGAGUCUUCCACCCCAGGAGGCUCCUCCACAGCAUGUGGGAUGACACAGCAUCUCCAAGGAAUGCAGGACUGGGUGGCCCUGGGAGCAUCAAGAGUUGCCGGAGGAGAACCCUCAGGGAUGGAGACUGACCAAAGUUGGUGUCUUAGGUUCCACCUCCUAAAAUUUUCCAUGACAGCCAGGCAUCCUGUUGUGCUCAGGCCCAAGGGCUGGUCAGGCUGCCCCUGUGGAGAAGCAGCUAUGGCAGGUGGGGAUGACCUGUAUGUCAACCUGGGUGUUGUCAAGGGGCUAACAACUGUUAUGAUGAAUAAUGGCACCUUAACACUUGGUUAAACAUAUAUCAGAUGCAUUUCCAUGGGGAGACCUGUCUUGGGGAGAUUGGAUCCCCAUCAUCUGUGGAUGUCACUGCACACAUCAGUUUCCUGAAAUGAGGCAGAGAUGCCCAUGGCCCCCCUUCCUCCCCAGCAGCAAUGCGAGUGUCAUUGGUGCACCCAGCCCAGACGCUGAUGGGCUUGGAUGGCUGUAAUUGCAAACAUAACUGCAAACAAUAUAGGACCUGGGCUGUGUUAGGGCACUGUGUUGACCAAUUCCCUUGGGAAUUGAAUCAUUUCACACAGGAAAUGGAAAAGGCCUCCUAAUCUUCCCUUUGAAUGGGCUGUGAAAUAGGCUCUGAACCAACCCCGGGCAGAGUGGAGCAG